ensembl:lncRNA
UUAAUAGGCAACAGGUUUAAAACAAACAAAAGGAAGUAUUUCUUCACACAAUGCACAGUCAACCUGUGGAACUCUUUGCCAGAGGAUGUUGUGAAGGCCAAGACUAUAAUAGGGUUUAAAAAAAAUCUGGAUAAAUUUAUGGAGGAUAGGUCCAUCAAUGGCUAUUAGCCAGGAUGGCAGGGAUGGUGUCCCUGCCCUCUGUUUGGCAGAAGCUGGGAAUGGGUGACAGGGGAUGGAUCACUUGAUGAUUACGUGUUCUGUUCAUUCCCUCUGGUGCACCAGGCAUUGGUAGCUGUCGGAAGACAGGAUACAGGGUUCGAUGGACCUUUGUUCUGACCCAAUAUGGUCGUUCUUAUGUCCCGCAAAUGGGGAAAAGGGAACCAGCAAACUGUUUGGAGGUGGGAAGAUGAGGCAGGUAAGGUAAUGGGCAGUGCUUACACACUCACAAUGUGAUCCUAAAAUCAACCACUUUUUCAAGUUUAAUGGAAAUAUUGGUUGGGGGUAACUUUAUGUAAACUUCCUAUAUUUAAGAGAAGGGGAGUGGAAGUGAGGGAGAUCCUCCAUGUGCUUUAAUGAAGAAUUUUAUUGGCAGACUAUUGUAAUAGAAAUAUGGGAUGCAAUAGCCACAAAAACUGUAAGUCAAAGAACGAUAAGGUGAAAACAGUUGUGUUCUCUGCUUUUUCAGCACAGCUAUUCCAGUCUCCCACUUAUAAAAGGCUGAUCAAGAAGUUAAACGGUUGAUGGGUGGCUGUGGCUGCUGUCUUUUGAGAUACAUGCUCUGCAAGCUGAACUCAAUUUCCAUAGAAGCAUGUACAACCUCCAAGUUAAGUACACUGAAGCUGUUUUUGAGGGGAUAAAGCAAGCCUACCACACUUUUCAAGAGAAUGUUGUGUCAGUUCUAUGUUCACCGCUACAAGAUGUUCUUUCUUCUUACAUAAACCUUAAAGCGGAAACUUCAGUGGUUGCUUUAAGGGACUUUCUCACUGCUUUUAAAAACAAUGCCAAACAGAUCCAAGAUACAGUUGACACUUACACUCCAUCAAAGAAUCAGCAGCACAAAGGUGAUGAGGCCCUGUCAAGGUUUGGAAAAGAAUUCUUCCUCUCUUUGGAGCAUUCACUCAAAGACUGUGGGGAACAACGGGAUAAAGCAGCCAGCGAAAUGGAAACCUUACAAACUGAACUGGUACUGGCCUUUGAAAACCUUCAGAGCUUAAGAAAGGAACGAAAAGAGAAGAAAGCAGAAUCCAUUCCUCAUUUUACAAAGUCUGAAGGAGGGGAGAGUGCAGGAGGAGGAGCUGCAAGUGGCUUGGAUAUGAUUUCAAAAGAUAACCCAGUGCCAGAUUCAACACCUCUGCUGCCUCCACACAGUGAGAGUCUUUUGCCCAAACAUGUGUCUGUGAUGGCAGAAGCAUCUAGCAACUCAUCAGCCAAGCUGCAGCAGCAGAGUUCUAAGGGGUUAGCCCUUCACCAGAAGGGGAAGAGCUCCCACAGGAGUAAGAGCAUGAAGACCCCACUGCAAGGCCACCUUGGCAAGAUUAACCAUCACUUUAUCUUUAAUAUCUUUUUCUUCAAAAAUGGUCUGAGCUAGUUUGUAAUAUUCUGUGUUAUGAUGAACUCAGGGGCAAGGGGCAGUCCUGCAAGGUGUUGGGAAAAGAAUUAAGUCAAGGGGGCUGAGGGCAUUCAACACCUUGUAAAUGGUGUUGGAAAUCUCAUAGGGGGCCCGAUCAAAGCUCAUUGAAGUCAAUGACAGAAUUCCCAUCCAUGGGCUUUGGAUCAGGUCCUUAGUAUUCAUGCUAGAAUGCAUGAAACCAGGAGGACAGAAAUAGAGGGCUGGUGUUAAACUAGAAUGAAUAGCUUUUGAAGAGGUAAUAUCCGCACUCAGCACAUGGACUGUACUAAUGUUAUGCUGGAUGUAUGUGCUGUUUCAUCACAGAUGUGUUUUUACACUUUAUGAAGAUUAUAGAAUGACUAAAAAAAUAAAUCACUGGCACCAGGCUUGGUUUUGUUUCA